CGGGAACUCAAGCGAUCUCAACGGAAACCCAAGACAGAGAAAUUGGCAGGCUAUUGUGAGAAGAAUCGUGGAAAAGUUCCCGGAGUACCUUGAAAAUCGAUUAAAAGUUACUUAUUUAAGAAACCUUUUGGAUAAUCUGGAGGAGCAAGACGGACGAUCGACGUCGGC